rnacentral:rRNA from 1 species
CAGCCGCCGCGGGAAUACGAGGGGGGCGAGCGUUGUUCGGAAUUAUUGGGCGUAAAGGGUGCGUAGGCGGUUCAGUAAGUCUUGUGUGAAAUCUUCGGGCUCAACUCGAAGUCUGCAUGAGAAACUGCUGGGCUUGAGUAUGGGAGAGGUGAGUGGAAUUCCCGGUGUAGCGGUGAAAUGCGUAGAUAUUGGGAGGAACACCUGUGGCGAAAGCGGCUCACUGGACCAUAACUGACGCUGAGGCACGAAAGCUAGGGGAGCAAACAGGAUUAGAUACCCGCGUAGUCCCUGUCUCUUAUAC